ensembl:lncRNA
AAAAAGUUUAUUAUGCUGUCUCGUGGUGCAGGUUUUGAUAGCAAAUCUCACUAAUCAUCCAAGACUUGUCUCUGUUUGUUCUCAAAAUGUGAUUCUCCAGCAUCGAGCAAGACAAUCGCCGCUGUAUUGUUGAAACAAAAGCAACAAGCAUGUCCCGCUAAAAAAGGUUCAAGUCACUCUCACAUUGCUCACAGUCACUGGCUCGUCUCACAAUGCACUUUUCACUGGACGUUGAAUGCUGCGGCUCAGAGAGCAGGAGAGAAAGUGACAGAGGAAAACAUAUAAACAAAGAAACAAAGUGAGAGAAAGAGAGCUGUAGAUGGGGGUGGAAGAGUGAGGUCACCAGAUGGUACAGUGAAAAGAAUGCACAAUGGUAACACAACACUGCUUUCUUUCAGUGUGCUCUUGUAAUCCCAAACUGCAAUACUAUAUGCAAUGCACAUGCCGACUAUAACAUAAUGUUGGCAUUAGUGGAACAGGAAUGAAUAAAGCACCAGUCUAAGAAGCCUUAUGUUAUAGAGAGUUUUAUCAGUGAUAACACACAAACAAUGUUUGUAUUGAUCCAAUUUGUAACAUGUAAAAUAAGUCUGGGAAGGAGAAAAGGCUGGAGAUAAAUGUAUGGCAUUGGUAACUGGUAAUAAAAUAAAACACACAGCUCUCUGACUAGCCUCUUGUCCAUGAGCAGUGAGCUGUUUUUUUGUUGUUGUUGUUUUUUUUUUUUUUUUCAUUUCUCUUUCUGAAAUGCUCGAACAUGACGCCGCCCAUAUCAGGAGCUGACAUCUUGUCUAUAUUUGUAUUAGACAGCAGAAUUUAACAGGACAAAACAGACAAUAUAUUGUUACAAAAACCUCUGAGGGCAGAAUUGUUGCGCUUUUUGCUUUAAAUUCAUAAACUGAAGUUUUAAAUUGAACUGAGCAUGAUUUUCAGCAACAGUUUAUUAUUGUUACUUUUAUAAAAUUUAAUGUAUUUUUCUCACUGAGGAUCAUAUGAAUGUGCAGGGAUGCUCUGUGGAAACAUGAGCCACAGUAUACAGUAUGUGUCUGUGUGUGUCGUCACAGUGGGUUGUUGUUUUGUUUUGGUAUGGCAUCCACGUGGCUAAUGUAGCAACAUGGGGUCACGCUAGUGCGAUCAGUACGGGCCAGAUCUGAGCACCAGCUGUCAUACCUGGCCAUGUCCCCAUUCACACAGCCAGCUGGCGCUUUAUCAGCUCUGCUGCAUUACUUGUCUGUUCAGAAC